rnacentral:rRNA from 1 species
AUCUGGGCGGCGGAAUUCAGGAUGGCCGGCGUGCUCUCGCGGUGCGUCGGUCGUUUGAUAUUUCCGUCGCCAGCCAAACCGCAGACGUCGCGACCUGUUCGCGGUCGGUCCCUGCUCGGAGGAGCCGCGUUCGAGCUCGUUGUGUGCGCGUUUCGGCGUGUCACACGGCGAAGGCGCGGAUCUCUGGCUGGCCGUCGGACAGUACGCUUAACGGUGUCCGGUGUCGUCGUCUCGUACGCGCGGCACCGGUACCGGUCAGCGACGAAUUCUUCGGGCCUCUUUCCGACCCGUCUUGAAACACGGACCAAGGAGUCUAACAUGCGCGCGAGUCGCGGGGUAUCGAGCGUACUUCGGUGCGUUCGUUAUGUUGCGAAACCCGUACAUGUCGAAGGCGUAAUGAAAGUGAAUGGGGAAGAUGGUGUUCCGAGUACACGUUCCGCGAUCGUCGGUAUCGCGGCCGGACACCCGCAUUCCCGGGGCGUCUCAACGGCCCGUCGCUGAUGCGGACAGUCGUCUUUCGGGGCGGCUGUCGGUCGGCGACGAACCGA